rnacentral:misc_RNA from 1 species
GAAAUUGCGGUAAGGCUAGGCCCUCUUUUUCAUUCUUUUUUCGGUGUUCACAGCGUCCCUGCGAGGGCCUUUCGCGGCAAGCCGUCAACUAACCCCACUUCCAUGCACAGCACCGUCUGCACCCCAGAGAUCUGUGCAUGUGUCUUUAUUUCGUCGCUACAAAUUUUUUACCAGGAAGUUCAUCCACCACGCCACCAAACCACCGCGUCACCCCUGUCCCCCAUCCCUCCUCCUCCGUCGAGUGCAGACGCACGCCGGCAUACAAAUGAGCACGAACGCCAAAAUGGCAGAGAAGACGCCAUGCGUCGACUUAGGCAGCCUUUUCAAGUGGUGGCUCAACCCCAGCAAGAUCUUCCGAACACCGAACCGCAAGAUGAAAAAUACGACGCCUGUCGUCGUGGUGGGCUCAGGCUCACAUAGCGGCGAUGGGACGACGGAGUUUGUGAAGGCGGCAACGAAAAAGCUCCUCUACUUUUCCUACCGCAACUGCUUCCCUCCCUUGCCGAACGGGUCUACAACGGACACCCGCUGGGGCUGCCUUGUGCGCACCACACAAAUGCUUGUUGGCACCUGCCUUCUGCGAUACCACUGCCAAGGCGCCUACGUGCUGCCAGAGGCGGACAACGCUGAGCUGAAGGAGAGGAUAUCGAGGUUGUUCAUGGACGUCCCGUCCGCCCCACUUGGGAUCCACAAGGCCGAGGAUGAGGCUCACAAGAAUAGUGUCAAAUACGCCAGUAUGCUGUCCCCCACGGAGGCGGGCAUGGCGAUCGCAGCCGCUCUGAUUGCUUUUCACGCACAAGGCGGGGAUGUGCCAUUCACAUUUUGCUGCGAAAGCCGCAACAUUGACGAGCCGGCGGUGAUGGCGAAGCUCUCGGAGGGCCAGCAUGUUAUUCUUAUUAUCCCUGUAGUCUUGGGCAUUGCACCCAUGUCGGACCAGUAUGAGCGCAUGAUGCUCAAGAUUCUCGACAUGAAGGCGUGCUGCGGCAUCGCGGGAGGCCUCAAACGAGCAUCCUUGUACAUGUUUGGUCAUCAGGGCCGCAGCGUCUUUUUCAUGGAUCCACACUACAUCCAAAACGCCUACACCUCUGACAGGACCGUCGGCACCCUCGAAGGGGCUCGCGGCGAGCUGAGUGCGCGUAGAUUUGACCCGUGCAUGGUUCUUGGCUUUUAUCUUCACACCCUGGAGGAUUACCGCGUGUUUGCGGAAGAACUAGCGGUGGCCAAUUCGCUCGUGGCGUUUCCACUAAUCAGCUUUGGUCAACGACCCAGGGAGGGGACGACCCCCUCCGACAAUGGCGUCGUUUCUGUGGCGGAGAGCGAGGAGGGCAUUAUGCCACACGAGAACGAGAAGUCACAGCUAAGCCCGAAUCCGCUCGCUGCUGGUGGAGGGCACGCCAGAAGCUCGAAUCCGAUCUCUCCUCUACCGAGCUAGCCGUAGCGCCCGGACGCCGAUCGUCAUCACCAUUGUAGCAGUUGCAUAAAGUUUUUGGUAGCAGUGCACGGGAGCCACCCCCCCCCCCCCCCCAGAGCCUCCCCAUCCUCCACCUCAUUCAACGGAUGAAGUUGCCAGGAAUGCGGCAGUAGUGGUGGUGAGAUUUCGUGCGCAUGUGGAGCGAAAUGUGUCUUUGCGCAUUCCACCAGAACGGACGCGCAAAGCAUGUUUCUUUGGUGUAUUUUUUUUUUUCCGUUUCUCCACGUCUCCUUGUGAAUCGCCAUGCGCCUGUGUGAGGCAUAUCAUGGGCUUUAUCAAGAACGUGGUUGCCGUUAUCUAAACACCUUCUCCCCACUCCUCCCAUUUUCGCACUUUUCCCUUCCUGCGCUGAGCUUGUGCUGAUGUUUGCUUCGGUUUGAUCACUCUACGCACGACACGGUCGCAGCUCUCACCAACUCGCUCCGUUGUUCGUUUUCUUUCGUUUUUUUUUUUUGCGGUUUUGGCGUGCUUCGCUGCAGCGCUUGCCGCGUCUUCUCUUGUAUACGCGGGAGGGGCGUUCGUUUUUCCUGUUCUCGGCAUGCUUGCGCAGCCCUUUGCCUCCACCCCUCUCUGUCUCUUUCUCUCCCUCCCUCUCGCUCUCGCGCAUCCCUUAGACGGAGGGCGUCUGGGUAUGCCUGUUUCGCUGCUGAGCACUCCUGCUCUGGCUACUCCUCCUUUUCUCCUUUUUCUCCCCCUCCUCGCGAACGCGCAUGCGCGUCUGAUCUCUCCUACUUUUCACGCUCACUGCUUGGUGCGGGAGCAGAGCGCGGACAGGGAUGAAGGGGAGAAGUACCUGCGGUGCCUCCUCCCCGUUCAGUGUUUGUGCGUUCUCUGCCGCUGUGUCGGCCUUCUCUCUCUUCUCACCCCCUUCUCAGAGCUGCAGGGACACAUGCGGACGCAUCUUUGCGGCACGGCUACGAGCAACUGGAGCUGUGGAACCGGGUGAUACUGUGCAGCGCGGUAGGGCGAUGAGGAGCGCUGCCAACUCACCGACUAGCGCUGGGGCUUCUCUUGCUCUCAGCCCUCGGCCGCUCUUCUGAGAGCGCCACAGCCCUGCGUGUCCUCUCUUGGCUCCAUCGCCUUCCUCGUUUUUCUGUGUUGUAGCGUAGGUACGCAGUGCAGAGCAUGCAUGCCUGCCUAUGUCUAUGCCUAUGCGUAUGUGUGCGUGCCGUGCUUCAGUGAGAGCGGCCGUCUUCUUCAUUCUGUCUGUUUGUGCGUAGGGAAAGGCGCUCCGUGCGGCCCCUUGUGCUAGCGGCUGAGCAGCGAUUGCGUGCCAUCGACACACUUUAUUCAACUGUCGAAGCUGUGUUGGCUUCUGUGCGCCACUCUCUCCUCCUGUCCUCGUGUCGAUCGUUGCGUGUGUCGCUCCCCUCGUGCAUGCGCUCUCUCUCCCUUUCCCUGUAGUUAGGACGCCUGUGCGACGUCGGCGUCACUGCUCCUCUGUUCGCUUUCUCCGUCUCCGUGCUGCGCCAUCCCACCCUGCCCCCUCCCGCCUGGCAACGGUGCGAAGGCGGCCGCGGCGUGCGGUGGGCUUGGUGAAAAAGCCGCAAG